rnacentral:rRNA from 1 species
GACGAACGCUGGCGGCGUGCUUAACGCAUGCAAGUCGAACGGAAAGGCCCCUUUGGGGGUACUCGAGUGGCGAACGGGUGAGUAACACGUGAGUAACCUGCCCUUGACUUCGGGAUAACUUCAGGAAACUGGGGCUAAUACCGGAUAGGAAUCCUUGCUGCAUGGUGGGGGUUGGAAAGCUUCGGCGGUUUUGGAUGGACUCGCGGCUUAUCAGCUUGUUGGUGGGGUAGUGGCUUACCAAGGCUUUGACGGGUAGCCGGCCUGAGAGGGCGACCGGCCACAUUGGGACUGAGAUACGGCCCAGACUCCUACGGGAGGAAGCAGUGGGGAAUAUUGCACAAUGGGCGGAAGCCUGAUGCAGCAACGCCGCGUGCGGGAUGACGGCCUUCGGGUUGUAAACCGCUUUCAGCAGGGGCGAAGCUUGUGGUGACGGUACCUGCAGAAGAAGCACCGGCUAACUACGUG